rnacentral:misc_RNA from 1 species
UGACAUGACUGCUCAUGUUGGUGACUUUGGAUUAGCGAGGCUAAUUUCUGAAUGCACCAGUAAUCCUUCUCAAAGCCAAAUUUUCUCAACAGGAAUAAAGGGAACUGUUGGCUACAUGGCUCUAGGUAACAUUUUCCACACUGUCUCCUUUGUUAAACUACUACAUGAAUCAGCAUGGCAUGGCAUAUGCAGCAUGAGGGGGAAAACAUUCUGGACCCCUGAACUUUGCUUGUAUUAAGCCCCUGAACUUCUUUGCUCCGCAUUAAGCCCUCGAGCUUUUUAUUAAAAUUCACAGCAAAUAUUAAAGAUAAUUCCCAAAUUCUUUUGUAGCUAUAUGGAAUAGUAACUGUACAGCCUUGAUCACGUUUUAAUAGAAUUGGAGAUGUAUGAAUUGCAGAAUAUGGAGUAGGCAGCAAUGUGACAACUUAUGGAGACGUGUAUAGCUUUGGAAUACUUUUGUUAGAGAUGUUCACAGGAAAGAGACCAACUCAUGAUGUUUUUACAAAUGGCUUAGAUCUCCACAACUUUGUUAAGGCUAAGGUCCCAGGACAAGUCAUGCAGGUUGUGGAUCCCACGUUAUUCACUCCAGGAAAAUUGGGGGCAGCUACAGCAGCAGAAAAUAUGGAUGAUGAUGAAACUAUUGAAGAUAGUAUACAAGAAUGUAUUGUAUCAGUCCUUCAAAUUGGACUUGCAUGCUCUAUAGAAGUGCCAAAAGAUCGAAUGAAUAUGAAAGACGUAACAAGCAAACUAAAUGCCAUCAAGGAUGCUUUCGUUCAUAGAGACCAGAAACAAGUUUAGCAUGGAUUUGAUAUAUUGCAGAAGCGCAGCUUCUGCAAUGAGAUGUAGAGCCCCAGAAAAUAGCAGUUUUUCCAUUUCACAUAAAAAGAAUUAAAGAAUGUUUAAAAAAAUAAAUGAAGAAUGGAUUUAAACUUUCUGUAAGUAAUUAUAAUACAAACAAUACAAUUUAAGCCACGCUUGAUUUCUUUUGGUCGGAAAA